rnacentral:rRNA from 1 species
UACGGAGGAUCCGAGCGUUAUCCGGAUUUAUUGGGUUUAAAGGGCGCGUAGGCGGAUUUUUAAGUCAGGGGUGAAAUCCCAAGGCUCAACCUUGGAACUGCCUUUGAUACUGGGAAUCUUGAGUCCGGGAGAGGUGAGUGGAACUGCGAGUGUAGAGGUGAAAUUCGUAGAUAUUCGCAAGAACACCAGUGGCGAAGGCGGCUCACUGGCCCGGAACUGACGCUGAGGCGCGAAAGCGUGGGGAGCAAACAGG